GAAAUGAUGAAGAACAAAACGGGAAGGCAUCUGCUCCCUUUAUGGUAGAGGAGAAAUGAGCCUUUUUGUGCUGGCCUGGCUACAGAGGUGAUUUCCCUUCCCUGCUCACCCCUGGAGUUAGGCCCAUGAUGGGGGGAUGAAGAUCGGAAAGACUUAGCAUCUAAAAAAUCAAGUUCCUGCUCAGUGGAAGCUGUGACCCUAUAGCAAGGUAACCUAGUAACCUCCACCCCUGGACCACAAUAAAGGCGCAAGCCCACUGGUCCUUGUUUCUCUGCCCGUGUGCUCCCCACCCGAGAUGCCUGUGCUUUCCAUUGACCCCUCGUGGCACCCCUCUCUCUCUGGGACCUAAUCACAGAAAGCAAAACCUCUAAGAUGCCCUAGAGCUCCACUGAGCCAGCUGCAUAUGUGAUACAAGAAGAAACAAAAGCAGGAUCACUGUGGCUUGUGUGUUGAAAAUCCACUGAAGAGGAGUAAUGAGCAGAAGCAAGAUACAAAACUAGGAGGCUACUGCGAUAAUCCUGGAGAGAAAAGAUGGUGUCCUGGACAGGCUGGGUAGUAGUAGCGUGGUGAAAAGAGAGUUUGCCUGGGAGAAACUAAGAGAACACCCCCAGAUGCCUAAAGAGAAAG